GAUGAACGCUAGCGGCAUGCCUAACACAUGCAAGCCGAGCGGUAUUGUUGCUUCGGAUAUGAGAGAGCGGCGUACGGAUUCGUAACACGUCUGCAACCUGCCUUUAACUGGGGGAUAGCCUUUCGAAAGGAAGAUUAAGACUCCAUAAUAUAUUGAACGGCCUCGUUUAUUAUUGAAAGUUCCGUCGGAUAGUGAUGGGAUCGCACACGAUUAGCUAGUUGGUGAGGUAACGGCUCACCAAGGCGAUGAUCUUUAGGCGGCCUGAGAGGGUGAUCCCCCACCCUGGUACUGGGACACGCACCAGGCUCCUACGGGACGCAGCAGUGAGGAAUAUUGGGCAAUGGGUGCAAGCCUGAACCAGCCAGCCCGCGUGAAGGACGGCUGUCCUAUGGGUUGUAAACUUCUUUUGUAUAGGGAUAAACCUACCCUCGGGAGGGUAGCUGAAGGUACUAUACGAAUAAGCACCGGCUAACUCCGUG
rnacentral:rRNA from 1 species